GUCUACGGCCAUGCCACCCUGAACAAGCCCGAUCCCAUCUGAUCCCGGAAGCCAUGCAGGUUCGGGCCUGGUUAGUACUUGGAUGGGAGACCACCUAGGAAGACCAGGUGCUGUAGGCA
rnacentral:rRNA from 1 species